rnacentral:rRNA from 1 species
UACAGAGGUCUCAAGCGUUGUUCGGAUUCAUUGGGCGUAAAGGGUGCGUAGGCGGCGCGGUAAGUCGGGUGUGAAAUCUCGGGGCUUAACUCCGAAACUGCAUUCGAUACUGCCGUGCUUGAGGACUGGAGAGGAGACUGGAAUUUACGGUGUAGCGGUGAAAUGCGUAGAUAUCAUGAGGAAGACCAGUGGCGAAGGCGGGUCUCUGGACAGUUCCUGACACUGAGACACGAAGGCCAGGGGAGCAAACGGG